CUGACGGUAGUCGUAUGCUCGUCUCCGAGACUAAGCCAUGCAAGUCCAAGUACACGUCCUUGAACGACGGAAACUGCGAACGGCUCAAUUUAAAUCAGUUGCGAUCUACUCGGCGUUCCGCGCCGCCGGAUAACCGUAGUAAUUCUAGGGCUAAUACGUGCGAAGCGCCCGAAGCCGCGAGGCGACGGGCGUUCUCGCCGGAUGUAGGAACCGACCCGGGGACCGCCGGGGCAACCCGGCGCCCCCGAGACGGGGCGAACCACGGUGAAAUGACGGAUCGUCGGCCCCGCGCCGGCGACUCGCCGAAUGAGUUUCUGACCUAUCAACUCGAGACGGCGGGGUAGAGGCCCGCCGCGGUAACGACGGGUAACGGGGAAUCAGGGUUCGAUUCCGGAGAGGGAGCCCGAGAAACGGCUACCACUUCCAAGGAAGGCAGCAGGCGCGCAACUUACCCUAAUCUCGAUU
rnacentral:rRNA from 1 species